GGCGACCGGCGCACGGGUGAGUAACACGUAUCCAACCUUCCGGUUACUCGGGAAUAGCCUUUCGAAAGAAAGAUUAAUGCCCGAUGGCAUAACAAAUCCGCAUGGAUUUGUUAUUAAAGAUUUAUCGGUAACCGAUGGGGAUGCGUUCCAUUAGGCAGUUGGCGGGGUAACGGCCCACCAAACCUACGAUGGAUAGGGGUUCUGAGAGGAAGGUCCCCCACAUUGGAACUGAGACACGGUCCAAACUCCUACGGGAGGCAGCAGUGAGGAAUAUUGGUCAAUGGGCGAGAGCCUGAACCAGCCAAGUAGCGUGAAGGAUGACUGCCCUAUGGGUUGUAAACUUCUUUUAUACGGGAAUAACAUCAUCCACGUGUGGGUGUCUGCAUGUACCGUAUGAAUAAGCAUCGGCUAACUCCGUGCCAGCAGCCGCGGUAAUACGGAGGAUGCGAGCGUUAUCCGGAUUUAUUGGGUUUAAAGGGAGCGUAGACGGGUCCUUAAGUCAGUUGUGAAAGUUUGCGGCUCAACCGUAAAAUUGCAGUUGAUACUGGGGACCUUGAGUGCGGCAGAGGCAGGCGGAAUUCGUGGUGUAGCGGUGAAAUGCUUAGAUAUCACGAA
rnacentral:rRNA from 1 species